rnacentral:lncRNA from 1 species
AACUACAAAGCUUUCAGAAAUGAAACCAUGAGGCUCAAGCUAAGGCAUGCUGACAGAUUCGAUCACCGGAGCUCGACUGGGGAAGUUUCAAAUGAAGUUACAUUCAAACUAACUGCCAUUUCUCGCAAACUGGAGGUUAGCGAAAUCUACUUGAAAGAUUGUUGUGUUCUACUCUUCUGUAGCCACUUACUAUUUAGGCUGUUAGGUUGCAUAUUUGUGUUUUUGUGCUAAUUUUGCUUGUGCAAUAUUUUCUCUAUUGAAAUAACUAGAAAGUGAGGAAAACACAAGUCUGAAUCCGGUUGCAGUUUUUCUCCUUUUUUUUUUUGGAGUAACUCCUUUUGUUAACAUAGGGGUACUCAUAACUGUAUUGUGGCCAUUGUGAUUUCUUCUAAUUGUUAGUACAGUUUGUGCCAUCACAAUUCAGUUUAACAUUGAAGUAGACUGCACCCUGACCAGGCCUUUUGUUAAUUUCCCAGGAAGAUGACCCGGUGGAGAACUCUGUGAAGGAGAUGCUGGAGUCUGCGGUCCAAAUGAUUUGGGACAAUGCGCUGAACUACCAGAUCGUACCUUGAGCUUGGCUAUGCAGACAAUAGUUCUUCCUUGGAGAUGCAACACGCGAGUUGAUUUCUUUGAGCGCCUCUGUAUAUAGCGUCCGUUUUGUCAUGAUCUGUCACCUGCGAUGGUUAGACCUGAGUGCUAAAAUAUGGGAUUUGGUUGUUUGGCAAGUUCUACUUGCUCCAAAAAUCUGACCAGUGGCCACAAUAAAUUGGAGUUGAUUUCAGCACAACUUGUUGAUUGCUUUGCUUGCGGUCGUAUGUUUGGUAUUGGGCUAUUGUAAACGGGCAGUGAACUCUCCUUGGGGUUAGUUUUUCAGAAAUGCUAUAUCACACGUGUGUUUUAUUUGUUGUUGGCACACAAAUUUUAUAGCCGCUCGAUGAAGAAGGUAGCGCUUGAUUUGCUCCGAUAUGUGCUGGUUGCAUUGUCACGCUGACGUGCAGGGCCUACUCAAGUGUUACUGGUUGAAAUAGGGAGUCACGUCUGUCUAUUUCUGGUUCAUCCAUUUCCCCGUCGUCUUCCUGCGAGAGGGGAAAAGCAUCAUCCUGGCGAUUGUCUCGGCGUCACGCCAUUCUACCAACAGUGACCUCGCCGCUCCGCGCCCUCCCUGUCUGGUCGACCUCGACCUCGCCGCUCCGCGCCCUCCCUGUCUGGUCGACCUCGCUCGUUCUUGUCUGCCAUUGCUGGAGCUCUGGAGGUACGUGAGUUCUCCGCUUGCUCCAUUGAGUAGAUCUGAGGGAGGUUGAGGUCAAACCCAGUCCCACCACCGUCUGAUUAGCCCCCAUCGUCUUCUUACCUGCGAGAGGGGAAAGGUGUUCGUUCCCAGCGAUUUCACCUGUGACCUCGCCGCUCCGCGUGUCCCCGUCUCUGCGUGCGGCCUCUACAGGUACUAGUUCAACCCCUGCUCUCGUUUGUUGUGGCUCUCGCCUCUGUCAUUGUUUUGUGGCUUCGCAGAGUCGAGGUCCUGCCUGAUGAGAAAGUGAGUCGCUCGAUUUGUUGUGAGCUUUUGUUGUCAGUUUAUUGUUCCUUUGGUGAUGAGUUCAUUUUUUGCAGUAGGUAUGCUAUUUCAGAGACAAGAGCUUCUCUGACGCUUGCUUUUGCUGAGAAUGAAGACUUGUUAGCUAGCCAACAGGCUGCCAGGGCCCAUGGGCUGAAAGUUCGGCCCAGUUAUCUUUAUAAGUUUAAUUAUCUUUGUAUUUGCAAUUUAUAUUAGUCCCAAAUAGGUUAUUUAGCAAAAGAGGUGAAGUAGAAGGGACAUAAAUAUCUGUAGACUCUAUUGAUAUAAUCAAGCAAUGAAUUAUGAAGAAACAAUUCUAGUCUCCCUCAAUCUCUUAAGCUCUUGGCAAAGCAUAAGGCCUAGUUAUCCCAAAGCUCUUGGCAAAGCAUAAGGCCUAGUUAUCUAUCCAAAAUACCCAUCACGUUCAUAACAUCUGGUAUCUAGAGUCCAGCGAUCCUCUUCCAUCAGCCGGAUCCUCCAGCACCUCCGAUCCUCCAUCAGUCGUUUCAAAAAAAAGAAAAGAUAUUGAUCCAGAUCGCCGCGUCGCCUACCUCAUCCAUCGUGCCGCGCCGCCACAGCAACGCCACCAGCCGCCGCCGCACCCCCAUCACCACUGCCGCCGCGCCGCAGCCUCAUCAUCUCCUCCUGCCGCCGCCGCCCACCCUCAUCGUCACGCCGACCACCCUUGUCGUCGCGCUGACCACUCCAGCAAGGGGCUCGGGCAAGAGCUUCCAGCAGUCGACCUCCAGGGCGACCAGUUGGCUGCUCGUCUCUUCCUAUGGGAUCCAGGACGCUCUCGGCACCUUCCUCGACCACUAUCACUGCAGCUCGAGGACGAGCUGGUCCUCAAGGGAGGCGGAGAUGUCAUGGGUAGCCAACAGGCUGCCAGGGCCAUGGGCUGAAAGUUCGGUCCAGUUAUCUUUAUAAGUUUAAUUAUUUUUGUAUUUGCAAUUUAUAUUAGUCUCAAAUAGGUUAUUUAGCAAAAGAGGUGAAGUAGAAGGGACAUAAAUAACUGUAGACUCUAUUGAUAUAAUCAAGCAAUGAAUUAUGAAGAAAUAAUUCUUGUCUCCCUCAAUCUCUCAAGCUCUUGGCAAAGCAUAAGGCCUAGUUAUCCAAAGCUCUUGGUAAAGCAUGAAGCCUAGUUAUCCCAAAGCUCUUGGCAAAGCAUAAGGCCUAGUUAUCUAUCCAAAAUACCCAUCACGUUCGUAACAGCACCCUGACCAGGCCUUUUGUUAAUUUCCCAGGAAGAUGACCCGGACAAUGCGCUGAACUACCAGAUCGUACCUUGAGCUUGGCUAUGCAGACAAUAGUUCUUCCUUGGAGAUGCAACACGCGAGUUGAUUUCUUUGAGCGCCUCUGUAUAUAGCGUCCGUUUUGUCAUGAUCUGUCACCUGCGAUGGUUAGACCUGAGUGCUGAAAUAUGGGAUUUGGUUGUUUGGCAAGUUCUACUUGCUCCAAGAAUCUGACCAGUGGCC